GCCGGGAUAGCUCAGGUGGUAGAGCAGAAGACUGAAAAUCUUCGUGUCGUCGGUUCGACUCCGUCUCCCGGCACCA
rnacentral:tRNA from 1 species